GACGAACGCUGGCGGCGUGCUUAACACAUGCAAGUCGAACGUGAUUUUUGUAGAAAUUCUUUCGGGAAUGGAAAUGAAAUGAAAGUGGCGAACGGGUGAGUAACACGUGAGCAACCUACCUUACACAGGGGGAUAGCCGUUGGAAACGACGAUUAAUACCGCAUGAGACCACAGAAUCGCAUGAUAUAGGGGUCAAAGAUUUAUCGGUGUAAGAAGGGCUCGCGUCUGAUUAGCUAGUUGGAAGGGUAAAGGCCUACCAAGGCGACGAUCAGUAGCCGGUCUGAGAGGAUGAACGGCCACAUUGGAACUGAGACACGGUCCAAACUCCUACGGGAGGCAGCAGUGGGGAAUAUUGCACAAUGGGGGGAACCCUGAUGCAGCGACGCCGCGUGAGCGAAGAAGGUUUUCGAAUCGUAAAGCUCUGUCCUAUGAGAAGAUAAUGACGGUAUCAUAGGAGGAAGCCCCGGCUAAAUACGUGCCAGCAGCCGCGGUAAUACGUAUGGGGCGAGCGUUGUCCGGAAUUAUUGGGCGUAAAGGGUACGUAGGCGGCCUUUUAAGUCAGGUGUGAAAGCGUGAGGCUUAACCUCAUUAAGCACUUGAAACUGGAAGACUUGAGUGAAGGAGAGGAAAGUGGAAUUCCUAGUGUAGCGGUGAAAUGCGUAGAUAUUAGGAGGAAUACCGGUGGCGAAGGCGACUUUCUGGACUUUUACUGACGCUCAGGUACGAAAGCGUGGGGAGCAAACAGG
rnacentral:rRNA from 1 species